rnacentral:rRNA from 1 species
GACAGAGGUGCCAAGCGUUAGGCGGAAUCACUGGGCUUAAAGCGCGUGUAGGUGGCGGCCUAAGUACCUUGUGAAAUCCUGCGGCUCAACCGCAGAACUGCUUGGUAUACUGGGUCGCUUGAGCCAUCCAGGGGCAACUGGAACAAGCGGUGGAGCGGUGAAAUGCGUAGAUAUCGUAAGGAAGACCAGUGGCGAAGGCGGGUCUCUGGACA